AUUGAACGCUGGCGGCAGGCUUAACACAUGCAAGUCGAACGAGUGGCGGACGGGUGAGUAAUGCGUGGGAAUAUGCCUUAUGGUGGGGGACAACAGUUGGAAACGACUGCUAAUACCGCAAACCAUAAGAGUAGCCCAUGUGGGAUUAGCUAGUUGGUGAGGUAAUGGCUUACCAAGGCGACGAUCCCUAGGUGGUCUUAGAGGAUGACCAGCCACACUGGAACUGAGACACGGUCCAGACUCCUACGGGAGGCAGCAGUGGGGAAUAUUGCACAAUGGGCGCAAGCCUGAUGCAGCCAUGCCGCGUGUAUGAAGAAGGCCUUAGGGUUGUAAAGUACUUUCAGCGGGGAGGCGUUACCCGCAGAAGAAGCACCGGCUAACUCCGUGCCAGCAGCCGCGGUAAUAC
rnacentral:rRNA from 1 species